UUCUGUACUAACAUCCCUCCUGGAUAGCAAAUUAACUCAUUAAAUACAUUAACUCGGCUUAGCUGGGUAGCAGCGAUUACAAGGUUUGAAGGUUGAUAAAUUUCCAUUUUAAUCUUGUGAGGGAGAGGGUGGGAAAGGAUUGAAGAGGGAGAGACUCCAGAACAAUUUUUUUAAGGGAAAAAAGAGCAAUAUGAUUUUAUAUUGACCCUGCUCCCUUCCACAUCUUCUUUAAGGAGAGAGUGCCCUGGAGAUCCAUACAUUCAUGUACCUGCUUCAACUCAACAAAAAUAUAUUUAGGAAACUAUGUGCCAGGUACAGUGCUUGACAUUGGAAAUCCAAAGUAAAAAUGAUAUAGUCCCAACUCUUCAGGAGAUUAACAUAUUUUUGGGUCAAACAUUUCAGACAGAACUGAAUAGGAUAUUUAAUAACUCAGCACAUACUUAGCACCUGGCUUAUAGUAGGUACUUAAUAAAUAUUUAUUGAUUGAAAAAUUGCUUACAUUUCACUGUCCUGUUACUGUCCUUCCUUUGGAAAACCAGUCUAAUGAUUUAAAGUAAAAUCAAAUUCACUCUGGGUGCAGUUUUGAGAUUAACUCCUUCCCAAUUUACAUUUUCUCCCUUUUUAGAAACUUGGCAGCACAUCUCUACCCCUACACACAGACACACACCAUCCCUGUAUUUUCAUAAGGUUAUUAUGGGUCAUUGGGAGUUGGUAUGAGGAAUCACUCUCCCCUUUACCUAGAAAUAAAUAGAUGGCCUUUUGAACUACCAUAGUUUAAUUUAAAUGGAGAAUCACUGAACUGGAGAACCUAUCUCCUCAUUUCUUUCUUCCCUAAAUAGAAUUACCAGUAGUCCUUGGUAUUCACAACUGAAACCCAAGUAAUUAUUUUCUAAGCAUCUAUACAAUGCUCUAAGUCUUGUAAAGUGCUUUACAUAUUAUCUCAUUUCAUUCUCACCAUAACCUGAGAAGUAGAUGUUAUUAUCUCGAUAUUACAUAUAAAGAAACUGAAGUUAAGAGAGAGGGGUAAAUGACUUAUGAAGGGUCACACAAUUAGGAUCUAAAGCUGAGUUUGACCUGAGUCUUCCUGAUUCCAAGCAGAUGGCACUGAAGCAAACAGAAGUACUCUGUUUUAGUUUAAGGAGAUUCUUGCAUUUUAACUACUAACUAUACAUUCUCUGUGUUCUCUAUCUUCUCACCCUAACAAGUAUAUAAAUGGUUGUUCAGAAAUAUUUUGGGGCCAGAAUGUCUUGCAUCUUGGACUAAAAAACAAAGAAGCAAAAAAUGUCAUCAAAACAUUCUCUUUUGGAAAGAAUUUCAAAUGUAUUUUGACAGUACUCCUCCUAAAUCUUAGUUCUUCAUUGGUUAAGAAGAAUUUUAACCCAUGCCAAAGACAUUACCACCAGAUCUAUCACAUAACUGUAUAUAUGUGGUCAUACUGGAGAUUGGAAAAUUUCAUUAAGAAGCAUUUCUUUUUUGUCUCUGAUGUACCCAGCACUGGGCAAGCACGGAUGUUAGGGAUACAAAGAGAACAAGGAAAUGAUCCCUGGCCUCAAGAUGUUUAUUCUACAGGGGAAAACAAUACAAAUACAGAUAUGAACAAAUAUAUACAUAAAAACUUGGGAAACAGAAGAUCAGAAGUUAAUGUAUUGGCUUAUUAGAGAGAUACAUAAGGGAGAAAAUGGAGAGCACAGAAAAUGAAACUACUUCUGCUUGUUUGGGCAUUGAAAUGAACAAAAUCCUUUCUGACAAGAAUUUUUUUAAAUCUCCUAGUCAAUUCCAAAAUUGUUAUUAUAGAAGGAAAUCUUUUUGCUUUGGAUGAUUGUCUUGAAGAUCAUAUCUUAAUUAUACUAAGGAUAUGUAAAAAAGCAGCAAUUGCUAACAUUACCAAAUGAAGAAUGAAUUAAUAUUAAGAAUUUGUUUAAAAUUGUAUUUUCUAUUGUAUUAUGUCUAGACCUAUUGAUUCUGUAUUAACGUGCCAAAUUAAACUUAUACUCAAAAUUACUAUGUAUUUGUUAAAGAAAUUAACAUACCUUUAAAAUCUAAAAGCUUAACUGAACUUUUCAAAAGAUUUAAUUCCCAUGGGCCAUUAACAGUAAGUUAAUAGAAUCAGAAUAAAAUAGCUGUGUUACAGACAUAUUUGGAUGAUGGGACUUUCUGUCUCGAUUAUAUAGUCAUAACUUGGAGAUAAUGCAGAUUGGGUUCCAGACCACCUCAAUAAAACAAAUACUGCAAAAAAGCAAGUCACAUGAAUUUUUUGGUUUCUCAGUGCAUAUAAAAAUUGAGUUCAUACUUUGAUAUGAUAUAUUGAGUAUUAUGCAAUAGUAUUUAUUAUACCUAAAAUGUAUACAUUGUAAUUUAAAAUACUUUAUUGCUUAAAAAAAUUUAGUCAUCUUCUGAACUUUCAGCAAGUCAUAAUUCUUUUGUUAAUGGAGGGUCUUGCCUUGGUGGUUGCUGGUAUAUUGAGGUAUAAUGUUCUUAGUUUGUUUUUUUGGAGGUCUUGGAGCAGCCUUCGUUUCAGUU